rnacentral:rRNA from 1 species
ACAUACGACCAUACCCACUGGAAAACUCGGGAUCCCGUCCGCUCUCCCAUAGAUAAGCCAGUGAGGGCCAGAUUAGUAGUUGGGUCGGUGACGACCAGCGAAUCCCUGGUGUUGUAUGNN